UCUCUCUCUCACACACACACACACACAUAUACAUAUACAUAUAUAUGACUAUAAAGUGAAUAAAAACAUUUCACAUAGUUACAUCCAAAAGAGAAAAAAUAUGACUAAAGUUCUUAACCUUGUUUAUGUUAUGAUCAUAUUUAUUUUCCUAUUUUUUGUUGUAGCCAACACCGAAACAUAUGUUUUAUGUUUUUAUGAUUCUGAUUGCCCACAAGAUAAAUGUAAGAAUCCUGAUGAUGUUCCGAGAUGUAUUUUUCCCGUGUGUCAUUGCAUUAAAUCAUAGGUCUAGAAAGGAUAGAAUAAUACCUGGUCUAUAUUGUCUGCUCGGGAUGAACGAGGUGAAAAAGAUAUCAAGUGACCUAUGAUGAAUAAUGCAAGCAUGAUACAUGGUUGAUGACUAUUGGCCAAGGCUAAGAAAUAUUACGAUGUAAUAAAUGAAUAUUGUGAUUGUUAGGGACUUAGCUUGUAGAGGUAAGGAUGGUGUGCACUUGUUAUUUGAUGUAUCAUGGUCAUUCAAAAUAUUUAUCAAGAGACUAACCAUGUUGAAUUGAUGAAGUGGAUGUGAAAUAGUGAGGCAUUUAGGGCAAGAUCCUAACCCUAGAAAGUUUGACGAGAAAAUUCUAAAUGACCUAGAAUGGCUAUAUUAUGUUAGGUCAUACCAUAUUAUACACAAGUAAACUAAUCAUUUAAUGAUAUCACAUUAGUGAGAGUGUACUAAAUGAAGACGUAUAAUCCACAUUUAUACUUCACAUGUGAGACAAGAUGCCAUCUUAAUCAAAUUUUUCAUAAGUUAGUUUGGUAGCAUAUUGAUAUGGAUUAGUGCAUGUUGAGUAAGACAUUUGUAAUCAUUAUAUCAUAUGAUAUUAUACUAUCAUGAUUGUUGUGAUGUUGUGUGUGUGUGUUCAUAUGCUUUUACUUUAUACUAUCUUCGUCCCUUAUUAUAGAACCCUUUUAGAAAAAAAUUGUGUCCCUUUUUAUAAGACCUUUUGAUAUUUUCAAGUGCAUUAAUUAUUUAUUUACAAAAUUACCCCUAUUUACUCUACAUAUUUUUUUGAAAAGCAAUAAAUUCUUUUUUCUUUUGAUAAAAGAAGAGCAAUAAGUUUACGUGGGAAAACAAAAUAGUAUAACUCUCAUUCAUGCACUAGCUGACUUUAUAAUGAUAUACUAUAAUCUUUCAUGAAGAAUAUGUUUAAUUCUCUAUAUGUUUAUAUACUCUUGUUUCAUGCUCCAUGUUCUUAAAAAAAUGGCGCCAAAAAUUUGAAAAUAAUUCCUAAAAAUUUUAAGUCUGGAGCUUCAAAAUUGAAAUUUUGGGAAAAAAAAGAGUGAUUUCAAUUUAUUUUUUUAGGAAAAAAAAAAGGAAUGGUUAUUCACGCUUCCUUUUCAAUUAUGGAUACAAUGAGAUAAAUUAAUUUGGUGCAUUAUUCAAGUAGUAGUGGGUAAUUAAUAUAGGAAAAUAAUGAACUGUGAUUUCAAUUAUUAGAAGUGUAAACAUGAAAAAAAAAAUAUCAUUUGUCAACAAAUUUAAUACAAUAAUCAACUUUCUUAAAACCCGUGUUUUUUCUAAAAGGGUCUUAUAAUAAAGGACGGAGGUAGUACCUUUAAAAUGAUAUAAUAUGUACUCACUUCUUCU